CAGCCGUAAACUAUGCGCGUUAGGUGUACUGGUGACCACGAGUCACCGGGGUGCCGAAGGGAAACCGUGAAACGUGCCGCCUGGGAAGUACGGUCGCAAGGCUGAAACUUAAAGGAAUCGGCGGGGGAGCACCACAACGGGUGGAGCCUGCGGUUUAAUUGGACUCAACGCCGGAAAUCUCACCGGAUAGGACAGACAUAUGAUAGUCGGGCUGAAGACUCUACUUGAUGAUCUGAGAGGUGGUGCAUGGCGUCAGUG
rnacentral:rRNA from 1 species